rnacentral:rRNA from 1 species
GAUGAACGCUGGCGGCGUGCCUAAUACAUGCAAGUCGAGCGAACAGACGAGGAGCUUGCUCCUCUGACGUUAGCGGCGGACGGGUGAGUAACACGUGGAUAACCUACCUAUAAGACUGGGAUAACUUCGGGAAACCGGAGCUAAUACCGGAUAAUAUAUUGAACCGCAUGGUUCACUAGUGAAAGACGGUUUUGCUGUCACUUAUAGAUGGAUCCGCGCCGCAUUAACUAGUUGGUAAGGUAACGGCUUACCAAGGCAACGAUGCAUAGCCGACCUGAGAGGGUGAUCGGCCACACUGGAACUGAGACACGGUCCAGACUCCUACGGGAGGCAGCAGUAGGGAAUCUUCCGCACUGGGCGAAAGCUUGACGGAGCAACGCCGCGUGAGUGAUGAAGGUCUUCGGAUCGUAAAACUCUGUUAUUAGGGAAGAACAAAUGUGUAAGUAACUAUGCACGUCUUGACGGUACCUAAUCAGAAAGCCACGGCUAACUACGUG